rnacentral:tRNA from 1 species
AUUCAAAUAGCUUAUUUAGAGUAUGAUAUUGAAGAUAUCAGGGAAGUUGCUUAACUUUUGAGUA